UACGUAGGGGGCAAGCGUUGUCCGGAAUCAUUGGGCGUAAAGAGCGCGUAGGCGGCCCUGUAAGUCCGCUGUGAAAGUCAAGGGCUCAACCCUUGGAUGCCGGUGGAUACUGCAGGGCUAGAGUCCGGAAGAGGCGAGUGGAAUUCCCGGUGUAGCGGUGAAAUGCGCAGAUAUCGGGAGGAACACCAAUGGCGAAGGCAGCUCGCUGGGACGUUACUGACGCUGAGACGCGAAAGCGUGGGGAGCAAACAGG
rnacentral:rRNA from 1 species